UCCUGAUCUCUGUGCUGUGGAAGGAUCUGCCAGGGAGCCUCAAUGCAGCUGUGUACUCUCAGAGGACCAACAAGUCCUACUUCCUGAAAGGAGACAAAGUGUGGAGGUAUACCAGAUUCAAACUCGACAUUGGCUUUCCGAAACACUUGGCCAGCAUUCCCUCUAAUGUCGAUUCAGCCUUGUACUUCAACCGGAACAACAAAGUGAUCUUCUUCAAGGGUUCUCAGUAUUGGCAGUGGGAUGAAGCUGGGGCAACGGACUCCAGCACGUAUCCCAAACCGAUAUCACAUCUCUUCUCUGGGGUACCCUACAGCCCAGAUGCAGCCUUCACAUGGACAAACGGCCAUAUAUACAUUUUUAAAGGGAACCAGUACUGGCGCAUCAACAAUAAACAAGUUGUGGAUAAGGGCUACCCUCUCAUAACAAGUGAAAAAUGGAUGCAAUGUGAUAAUUAGGCCAUUGGAGGUCAGUGAUGUUUUAUUUCAGAAUCACCUUUAUUCACCAAGUACAUUUACACAUACAUAUAAUUAUUUGCCUUAGUGAGAAGGUGCUGCCAGCAAUAGAUAAUAUACAAACAGAAUACAGACAAGUCCACAUAGACAGAAUAUACAAUAUCGGAACAGUAAACAUAAAACUCUGGAGCAGUGGCGACCCGUCAUUCAGGGCAGGUGGGGCACACGUUUGUUUUUGGUUGUCUGUUUUGCAUGUUAUU